CCAUCUUUGUUGCCUUGUGCGUCUCUAGUCAGCUUCCUGUGAUAUAAGAAGCUUUUUAUAAAUUUUUCAUGAGCUCCUAGCCGUCGCUCAUGAAAAAUUUUUCCGUGACAAUGGGGUUGUGUAGCAUUUGAGUUUGUUUAACGUAUUUGUUGCUAUAUUAUUAUCUGCGUGUACCUGUCAUCAUCAUCAUUUGAGUAAAAUUUACUAUUUGUGCUAAAACAUUCUCUGCGUGUAUCUGUCAUCAUCGUCAUCGUCAUUGAAGACAAACAUAAACAAAAUUAGUGUGAAGCAAACGUGAAAAGAGCAAGCUAACCGAAAUCGAAAAGUCGCCAUUGCGUUCGGCUUAAUUACCGCGAGUUUGCUGCUGAUUCCACCAUCUCGUUGGAGGUACACCCGCGAGGUGCCCUGGAGAACGAGACGCUGCUGAUUCCAAGACCGUUACGGGAGGAACGAAAAAGAAGUCGAUUAACCAGGUCAGUAAAUUCCUACACAACAUCCUCGAGCGGGCAAAUCAAGACAAAAUGCUCUCCAUAAACAGUUCCGUAUGAGGCUUCGUGCAGAAUUCCGGGAAGGCUAGGGAGCGGAAGGAUCCGAGAUCGGCAACUAAACGGAACAAGGCAAGAAAGUUCCGUUUCCACGGAGAGCGGACAUCGGAAGAAAUAACUUCCGAUCACUAUUGGCUGCAAGGAACAUUUCCCAGAUCCCCAAAUUGGGGCUUUUAUUGGGAGCUGAAAACCGACGCUGCCUGGAGUCUGUCUUUUCCGGAGCCGAAAGUUGUUUCGUCCGGGAGCCGGAGUCGUGUUUCUUCUGGAAGUUGGUCGAUCAGCUGCUGUCAGUGGUGCCCAAGUCUGCUUCGGUCAUCGGAUGACAUUGAGGUUGCUGUAAAGGAAAAGUAAAUAAGAAAAGAAACAUGUAAGUACUAGCGCUAGUCAGAAGAAAGAAGAAGCUGCAGCGAAGUAAGAAGAAGAAAUAAGAAGCAGGUAAGCAAGAAGAAGAAGCAGCAGUAAAGGAAAAAGAAGAGCAAGAGCGAAAUAGAAGAAGAAGAAGCAGAGUAGAAGCAGAAUGGAAGAAGAAGAGUAGAAGCAGAAUGGAAGAAGAACGGUAGAAGCAGAAUGGAAGAAGAAGAAGGAGAGGAUGAUGAUGAGCGGGAGAAGAAGAAGUAGAUCGAAAGAAAGUAUGCGGUCUGAAAAUUAAGAAAACAAUGAUUGGAAAUAGAAAUAAGCAACAAAUUUGUUUUGGUUUUGUUUUGUGGCGUAGUUUUAUGUAUGUUUUGGUGAUUUGUGUUUCCUCCCCCAUUGCUAGCCGGGAGAGAAGCAAAAGAACUUCAACAAGCUUCCCGAAUCACUUCCGCUUAAGCUACAGUCUCUGGAACUGGAAACAACUUGGUGCUGGAUAUGAAAUCACCAGUAUUUUGCGCUCCGUCCAACCGCUCCAAAUGGCUAAUCCAAGCUAAACGGGAAAUAAAAAAAGAGCAAUGAAAAAUAAGCGUUUUUUCGCGAUUUUUAUUCUGUUAUCAUGAAAACACA